UACGUAGGGUGCAAGCGUUGUCCGGAAUUAUUGGGCGUAAAGAGCGUGUAGGCGGCCCGAUUAGUCCGCUGUGAAAGUCCAGGGGCUCAACCCUGGAAUGCCGGUGGAUACUAUCGGGCUAGAGUCCGGAAGGGGCGAGUGGAAUUCCUGGUGUAGCGGUGAAAUGCGCAGAUAUCAGGAGGAACACCAAUGGCGAAGGCAGCUCGCUGGGACGUGACUGACGCUGAGACGCGAAAGCGUGGGGAGCAAACAGG
rnacentral:rRNA from 1 species